rnacentral:lncRNA from 1 species
GCAAACAUUUAGUGAGUCUGAUAUGCAUCUGGGACUAUAAUGGGUCUUAACAUUCUCUUCUAAUUUUUGCAACACAUCUGCACUUUCUUGGUAGGAUGUUGGAGAACUGAGAGGUUAAGAAAGUUUCCUAAGGUCACAGACCCCUUUAAUGGUAACAGUUGGAAAGGAAGCCCAAUCCCUCCCUUGGCAUUAGUUUCUUUAGUGAUGUUAGACACUUUCUAGACACCAGUAACAUAUUGUUACUUUCUUAUUUUCCACAAUGCCAAGUAAAUGGUGAGCUCUUAAUUUCUGCCUACCUUCUCAACCCCGCAGAAAACGCUACUUAAAAACGCCCUUCCAUAUUGCAUGAAUACAAGAGGUGACUCCACUCAUUAGUGGCAAAGCUGAGGGUCAUGCCUAUUUUUUAAAAAAAAUUAUAACAAGGCAGGGGUGGGGGAAGGCGACGAGUGCCACGGUGUACGUGUGGACAUCAGAGGACAACCUGUGGGAGUCAGUUCUCUACUUCACUAGAGACCAGGAAGAGAAACGGCUGCCCCCCCCUUAGACUGGCUACCUGUCUUCGUGAGUAUCCCGCCCCCUGCCCAAGCCACCUUGACACUUGGUCCUCCGGGACGCUCCUAGAAGAGGAAGACCCUGCAUCUCAGGGACCUCCUCCUGGGGAGGGCGGGCUGAUCCACACGGGGACAGGGACACAGGGCGCGCGGCCCGAGUCGGGAGCCCCGUUCCACGUGGCGGAGCCAAGUGGCAGCGAUCGAGGCGGGAGCGGGAAGCGCGGGAGGCCGGGUGAACGCUGCCCGAUGCGGAGAGUGGGCCCGGGCCCCGCAGGUCCCGGAGAGCGGCAGGUGGGCGGGCUGCAUCCCUCCGGUGCUCCCGCGAGCGGUGCCACUGGACAGUCGGCUGCCCGCCGUCGCCCCGGAGACCGCCCGGCCCCUCCGCGUAUCCCUGGCCCCGCCGCCGCCUCCCGGGCCUACCUUGCUGGUGAGGUCCAGCUCCGGCUCGCCGUUGAGCGCCUCGCCGUCCUCGCUGCAGUCCGAAUCGAAGCCGCCAUGGAGUCGGGCCGCGGCCGCGGCGGCCCGAGCCGCCCCCGGAGAGCUGGGCUCGGGGGCGAACAUCGAGGCCGGCACCGGCGAGUCCACCGGGGAGCGACUCCGCUCCGCCGCCAUCUUUAAGAACUUAGGCUAAUUCGCAGCCGGCCGCCCGCCCUCCCUCCCUGGCUCAUUUAACUAAUUUAUGCUGGGCCCCGCCCCUUCUUGGUGGAAUAAUUUAUGCGCAGCUUCCCCCGCCUCCCGGGGAUGUCACGUAUCUCUAGCGGAGACACAGAUGACCCAGUCUCUCAUCUACCAAUCGCCGCAGCUCCCUCAAGUACUUUAAUGAAUAAUUCAUGAGACCCAAACCCCAACAACAAACGUCGUAGUGGUCGGGAGCCUUGGUCCCGCCUCUGGUGGGGCCAACACAGCGUGCACGCUACCUGCCUGGAUCUUUCCCGCCAACGGGAGCGAAGCAGAGGUUUGACUGACUUGACAGCAAUCCAAUGAAAAGAGGCAUCCAUCCUUUACCCUCCCCUCACCUUCCAGAGGCGGGGCCAGCUUCCAAAUCAUACAGCAAAACAGUCCCGCCUGGAGCCUCUCAGAAUGAUGGACAAGGGCGGGACCCAAUCUUGUCCUCCCUAAGUCCCGCGCGUCUGGCCGCCGCACACCCCGAUAGUAAACUGCGAAAUGAGCCUGGCACUCUGACUGAUUGAAGGCAGUUGCUGCAAUACUAUGUCCGGCGUGCUGGCAUGCGCAGGGCAAUUUUUUAUAGUAGAAUCGAUGCUAUGUAUUCCAGGAAUUGUAAUAUUAUAGCAGCCAGACCAAGACAAUUAAUUAAAUGCUGACCUUAGGGAGUUCCAUUCAUUGACUCCUCGGAGAGCAACUGAGUGAACAGAAAGGAGAUGAUGACAGCCCAAACACCAGAGUAAAUCCCCUCACCACGUUUUUGGUGAAUGGGUGAGCUACAGGUCUAGGAUCUGUCAAGGUAGUUUCUUGUGGCUUAUUUUUCAGUUGCCACUUGUGGAAAGUCCCAGUCCAAAAAAACCGCCGUCCGUGUGCCUGAAAUUCCCGUUUCAAAUGUCUGAAAAAUUUAAACUUUAUUAGGUGAGUUCUGGUUUUUACCAAGAUCUAAUGCUGGCUGGACUUGGCCGCUGCUGGUGAGAGAGAGAGAGAGAGCAGCCAUCUAAGGAAGUACGGGAAAUUUAGGGAUUGAAUCACAGGAUGUAUAUAGUGAGCAAGGAAAGGGUUCAAUAUAGCCAUCACCUAAUUCAGGGAGUCUAUCUGAGCAGCAGAAUCUUGUCCUCAUUUUUAACUAUGUACCACCAAGUCUGUGAACAGAUGAUGCUGGAAACCUGACCUUAACGGUUUGUUACUGAAAUUUUUUUGUGUGUAAGAAUGGUGUGUGUGGUGCCACCUUUGUGCAGGGCCUGUAGAGUCUAGAUGGGGCACUGGAACCCUUUUGGACUAGAGUCACAGACGAUUGUUAGCCUCCAUAAUAAGGGUACUGGGAAUGCAACCCAGGUCUUCAGAACCUCUGAGCUACAUCUCCAGCCCCAGAGAUUCGGACUCUUGAAGUGAGAGGCAGUCUUGUGGACCGUAACCCUAUAUCUGUGGAUUCUGACAGUAUCCCCAAGUAUUAAGAAUUCAACUGGAGGCUGCUCACUGCUUGGCUGGAGGUGAUCAGAGGUGACAGUUGUAUUAACUCUAUUGCUUCGAUUGCUAUUUAGCAUCAUAUGAUCAGAAAAAGUUCAGUUUCAGAAUAUACUAUCUGAUGGGGGGGGGGAAUGUCCUUCUCACUAUAGGAUUUUGCCUAGAAAGGAUAUACAUUCUGAAUUCUUGCUUUUCGAAUUGAAUGGUUUGGAGAAUAAAU